rnacentral:rRNA from 1 species
AUUGAACGCUGGCGGCAGGCCUAACACAUGCAAGUCGAGCGAGCGGCGGACGGGUGAGUAAUGUCUGGGAAACUGCCUGAUGGAGGGGGAUAACUACUGGAAAAGGUAGCUAAUACCGCAUACCAUCAGAUGUGCCCAGAUGGGAUUAGCUUGUAGGUGGGGUAAUGGCUCACCUAGGCUACGAUCCCUAGCUGGUCUGACAGGAUGACCAGCCCAACUGGAACUGAGACACGGUCCCGACUCCUACGUGAGGCAGCAGUGGGGAAUAUGGCACAAUGGGCGCAAACCGGAUGCAGCCAUGCCGCGUGUGUGAAGAAGGCCUUUGGGUUGUAAAGCACUUGCAGCGGGGAGGCGUUACCCGCAGAAGAAGCACCUGCUAACUCCGUGCCAGCAGCCGCGGUAAUAC